AUCUGAUGAGGAGUGUUGUUCUUGUGCCCACUGCCAGCUGGAAACUUGGAUUCUCCUUGCUGCAGGUGUAUGCUUCUGCCAGCUGGAUGCUGUUACUGGAUAGUACACUGUUCCAAUGGAGCGUCAUUGGUUUGCUGGACAAAGUGGCCCACCCGAGGGGUUCCCUGCCAUUGACCAGCAAGCCACCCUGGCUGAGGAUCAUCUGAUUGCCAAGGCAGAAGGAGCAGAGCAUGCCAGGCAGUCAUGGAGAUUGUAAGAGCAGGACUGCUAAAAGAAAGGCCAGUCCUGAAAAGAAGACCCCAAUAAAAAGGAGGAGGGUCGCUGAGCAGGCUG